rnacentral:lncRNA from 1 species
AGCAAUGGCUGCAACCUACCUACCUACGGCCUUUAAACUAGCGAUUAAAAUGCUGACAGUAAACUCGUCAGUCCAGAUGUUACCACAUUACUUUGUGAUACUUAGAGUUAAAACAACUGAGACAGGCUGAUUAAAAUAACAGCUGUCAGAUCUCUCAUUCCUUAUAUCAAGACUGGAGAUCACACUACUGAUUUCAGUUCAUUUAAUAUGUGAGUGCACAGAUUCAUUCUCAACUGGACAUAAAUGAUGAUCAAAGGUUGUAUAUAUGAUGAAGUCAUCAAAUCCCAGCCUCUAACACAGUGCGCUGAAUCUUAGCUUUGAAUGUCCAGUAUAUUCUAAUCAGUGCAAUGUAAGCAUUCACUGAACCUACAGUAUCUACACCUGUGUGGCAAAUGUGUGGUAAAGAUACAGAUAAUGAAAUUUAAUUAUUAAUACAAUAUACAUCAUGAAAAAUGAAAGCUGAAAUUGAUUCAGUUUAGUACUUUUCUCUGUAUGUUCUGUGAUUAUAGAGGCCUUAAAUUCUGUGAUAUAUACUGUAAAUGAUUUUCACAGAGGUCUUAAAGUAGUUAAAUCACUGCUGAUAGUCUGGUUGUUUAUAUUUUCACGUUUUUGUGUCUGUAGGGCUGUUUGACGAUUUGGACUCCUCUGGGAGAUGAGGACACACCCACAUCUGUUCCAUACUGCAGCCAUUACAGCUCUGAGUCAGCUUUGGGACAUCAGAUGCACACACUGGAAAACCAGCACCUGGACUUCAUGCAGGAGAGACGGCCUCAGUGAUGUAGGUUCAUAAACGAGUUCAACCAUUUCUGACCUCUUAUCACUUAGAUUUCUUAAUCUUAACAGUGAAUGCAUUUAAAGCAGGAACUGCACACCUAGCCAUCAGAAGUUUGGCAGCAUGAGUACUGUAAAGUUUUGUAGGGUUCUUGUUAAAAAUUCCACAAGCACCACACCACAUUUGUCAUAUAUAGUUCAUUUUGUACAGGACAUUUUUGAAAUUAUAAACUAUAUAUUCU